rnacentral:lncRNA from 1 species
GACAAUACAAAUAAAAAAACUUAAUUUAUAGUCCAAAAAAUUAAUCAUCAAGAGAUUCUCUAUUGCUCAGCCUCGGCUGUGCUACCAUGGAAAGAGAGCACCCAUGUUAGCUUCCCAAGUCAGAGGAUGUAAGAUAAAGUUCAGGAGGUAGAACACAAUUUGAAAUUAGCUAGAACAAAAACUAUUUAUUAAAACAAGGCUCAGUAAAUUAGAUUGCACGUAGCUUGAGGGAGACAUAUAAAAUUACUUGCCACACACGUGUGCAUACACACAUACCUAAACAAACUAAUAAAUGAAUACCAAUGACAUAACUGCUCGGAAAUUCUACAAGAUCAUCACGAUUAUUUCAGUGCUCGCAUGAAACUAAAGAAUGUGGUGGUCAACAUUUGCAUCUUUCAGAACAUAAACAGUAAAGUUCGAUUGAUACUUACUAUUUUCAUAAAUCAACGUGGUGGUCAACAUUUGCAUCUUUCAGAACAUAAACAGUCAUAAAUCAACAUGGUGGUCAACAUUUGCAUCUUUCAGAACAUACACAGUCAAGUUCGAUUGACACUUACUAUUUUCAUAAAUCAACGUGGAUGCUAGACCAUCUAGCUCUGAAACUUCCUCCUGCAAGACUCCUUCCUCAUCACCACUUUGCAGGUGCCCACCCGUUCUUUGCAUUACAGGCUUCAUUAUUAAAACUCAUCCCCUCUUCCCACAUAUGAAGAUAAAUGUCCACCAAUGCUAGUACAACAGAAGCUGAAGUUCAAGUAAUCAGUUGCUAUCAAAUCAAACCUUCAAUACUGAAUUAGAGUACAUUUUCAUAAAACUUUCUGCAGACUCACAUGUGAAAGGUAGCAAAUAACUGCAAUAAUAGGUAGCCAACAAAACAUCAAAUUCCAAGCGUUUCCACUCACAGUUUCACGGACAUACAAUAGUCCAAAGAUGCUAUCUAACCAUUAAGUAAGUUAAAUCUAAUAAUUAGUCCAACUAACCGAGUCAAUCCCUAGGUCUAGGAACCAUAGCAACCAAAGCAUAAAAACAUCUGCAAAAUCACCUCUUAGAAGCAUCACACAACAGAUCUAACAUGGUAAACACUCAUUCAUGUCUCAGAAAACAAAGAAAUGAUCUCAGACCGGCAGAAACCCAGUCACGCAUUUCAUCGAGCAGGUGAGAAGCAGGGGAGUAGGCAGAACCUCACCUCACAAAGAAGGAUCACGCAGACACACAAGUAGAGAGCAAAACAGACGCAG